rnacentral:rRNA from 1 species
GAUGAACGCUGGCGGCGUGCUUAACACAUGCAAGUCGAACGAAGCAUUUGCGACAGAUUUUUUCGGAAUGAAGUUGCUUAUGACUGAGUGGCGGACGGGUGAGUAACGCGUGGGUAACCUGCCUUGUACUGGGGGAUAGCAGCUGGAAACGGCUGGUAAUACCGCAUAAGCGCACAAUGUUGCAUGACAUGGUGUGAAAAACUCCGGUGGUAUAAGAUGGACCCGCGUCUGAUUAGCUAGUUGGUGAGAUAACAGCCCACCAAGGCGACGAUCAGUAGCCGACCUGAGAGGGUGACCGGCCACAUUGGGACUGAGACACGGCCCAGACUCCUACAGGAGGCAGCAGUGGGGAAUAUUGCACAAUGGAGGAAACUCUGAUGCAGCGACGCCGCGUGAGUGAAGAAGUAAUUCGUUAUGUAAAGCUCUAUCAGCAGGGAAGAUAGUGGCGGUACCUGACUAAGAAGCUCCGGCUAAAUACGUG